rnacentral:sRNA from 12 species
UGCCAUAAGGUCAGUAUUACCCCUUAUGGCAUGAAUGUCGCAUGUCGCA